AAAUUGAAGAGUUUGAUCAUGGCUCAGAUUGAACGCUGGCGGCAGGCCUAACACAUGCAAGUCGAACGGUAACAGGAAGCAGCUUGCUGCUUCGCUGACGAGUGGCGGACGGGUGAGUAAUGUCUGGGAAACUGCCUGAUGGAGGGGGAUAACUACUGGAAACGGUAGCUAAUACCGCAUAAUGUCGCAAGACCAA
rnacentral:rRNA from 1 species